rnacentral:rRNA from 1 species
AACGAUAGUAAACCUAAAGGCGCAAUGAAAGUGAAGGUCCGCCUCGCGCGGACCUAGGGAGGAUGGGCCCGUCCACGUGCGGGCCCCGCACUCCCGGGGCGUCUCGUUCUCAUCGCGAGAUGAGGCGCACCCAGAGCGUACACGCUGGGACCCGAAAGAUGGUGAACUAUGCCUGGUCAGGACGAAGUCAGGGGAAACCCUGAUGGAGGUCCGUAGCGAUUCUGACGUGCAAAUCGAUCGUCGGAACUGGGUAUAGGGGCGAAAGACUAAUCGAACCUUCUAGUAGCUGGUUCCUUCCGA